rnacentral:rRNA from 1 species
CGGGGGGCAGCAGUAAGGAAUAUUGGUCAAUGGAGGCAACUCUGAACCAGCCAUGCCGCGUGCAGGAUGAAGGCCCUAUGGGUCGUAAACUGCUUUUAUACCAGAGAAAACCCUUCCACGUGUGGAAGGCUGAUAGUAUGGUAAGAAUAAGCAUCGGCUAACUUCGUGCCAGCAGCCGCGGUAAGACGAAGGAUGCAAGCGUUAUCCGGAUUCAUUGGGUUUAAAGGGUGCGUAGGCGGACUGAUAAGUCAGUGGUGAAAUCUCUCAGCUUAACUGAGAAACUGCCAUUGAUACUGUCAGUCUAGAGUAUAGAUGACGUUGGCGGAAUAUGACAUGUAGUGGUGAAAUACUUAGAUAUGUCAUAGAACACCGAUUGCGAAGGCAGCUAACGAAACUAUAACUGACGCUGAGGCACGAAAGUGCGGGGAUCAAACAGGAUUAGAUACCCGAGU